rnacentral:lncRNA from 1 species
UGCCAGACUAAGCUAAGCCGGAAAGUCGGUUCCUAGCCCGACUAAGCUAAGAAGGAGAGGGGACAAGACGAUCGACAAAGACGGAUUCGGAGAAGUUCGAAGAUGCUCUUAGAUCGGAGAGGCAGAAUUUGAGCUGGGGGUAUAUGACUGAGUUCAUCAACUCUCCUUAAAGGACUUAUUGUACCUAGCUAGAAGAUGUGACUUCACCCGACCGGAAGGGAAGUGACUCCAGGGUUGGAGGCACGAACGCUAUCACAGGCUAUUGCUCUGGUCUCUGGCAAGGUCCCAUGUAUUCUGCAAAUGGAAGCUAGCUCUUCCCCCUGCAAAGCAAGAAGUGAAGCUUUGGAUCAAGGAUUGGCCCAGCCCUUUUCUCUCAAUCCAAUCUCGGAUUUACAAAGCCAGAAGAGAGACAGGAGGAUCGCUCCCUUUAGCAAGUCUUCUUCAUUCAAUCAAAAUGAAUAGGUGAAAUCCGGAAAGAUCUUAUGCCUCGUUUCAUGAUCUCCCUCUCACCUUUUCCAAUACAAGUCCAAGUAUUCCAUCAAAGAAUGUUCCUGUGCCGGGAACCGGAGAAGAUUAGGGAAGAGGUGUGGUGGAGACAUAGACUGAAGCAGGAGCUGGUUUGGUCGCUAAGUCCCUUGUUGAUCCCACUGCAGCGGAUAAGGGGGGACGGAUAUAAGAAGCAGAGGAAAAAACCAAUCACUAACCUACUAAAAAACAUCAGUACAAGACGGCAGUCAUUGAUGGAAGUAAGUUGGAUAGCGGGCCUUUCCUUACAGGAUAGGAGGCCAAUACUGCUUCGGUCGCUGCGGGCUUACGAAUUCCUUUGUUAACCUGAAUCGGCCAUUGUCUUUUCGGAUUCCCCCACCCAGGUGGGAAAGAACUUACUUCUACUAGAGCUACCCUCAUAAGACAUACCCACUUCUCCUUAAAAAGCACACCAACUCUAUGAAGAAUUCCUGGCCUUGUUACAACAAUACGCUUAGCUUAAAAUACCCGAUUAAUGCUGAAUUGGGCCUAAGACUAAACCAAACGUUUGCGCCCUACGAUUGCUACUGUGAUGCUUACUAUUGCAUAAGAGAGAGCUCUUUCUUUAGUAUUUAGUAUGAGAUAUCCUCCCCAGUCUAUUGUCCGUGCUUCCUUCAUUCGCUUGGGACGGGACUCGCUAGCGACCGCUCUAUCGAGUUUGAACCGCUGGAACCAAAGAAAGGAUUGUGGCAAGCAACAGAAAAAAAAGUGAGUGUUAGGGUGCAGCGUGAAGAAGACCCCCUCGAAUGUUUCUUGAGUUGACGUCACUGGGACAUCUACUGCUUGGAUCCUGAUCUUACUAAGUCCGGGGUGGAGCAUUAAGGCUUUAUCUUCAUAUUGUUCUUUUCUUGUUACAGGGAUCCCAAUCAAAGCUUGAAGGAUGCCCAUAUAGAAACUCCUUACAGGGUGAAGUCCCAACCAAGCCAAGAGGCCGAACAAAGGCAUCCUAAAAACACAAACCUGUGCCAAAAGAAAGGCAUUUCCGGUGGGAAAGCUCAAACUCGUGUAACAAAGGCUCGGCCAGAGAUCAGGUGCUAUAAGACCGUAAGACGAGAUAGCAUCUCUUUAUCCCCCAAGGCAUACCACAAGAGAGAAUCCCAGCCAGUGCUCUCAGAUCGAUAGGCUUAUCAAAAAAAGUAGGAGAUUGAUUGGCGGACGGGUUUCAUUGAAUAGCUAAAGGCAACUCUAUCCAAGCAAAGUUCAAGGCUGCCAGGAGCAAGAAAAGAAGGGGAUGCAGACGGGAAGGUGAGAGUAACAUCAUACAUAUUGUCAUUCCAAAUAGGGCAUUGAGGAUGGAAAGGCUACACAUCGUACGUGUCAAAAGAAAAGAUAGUAAAGUAAAGGCCCUUGCCCAACUCAGUCUCAGUCCAACCCCGGACAAGAAUCUAAUAAAGGGGUCAAUAAAGGAUGAAACAAGGGCGAUAGCCAGCCCACUUUCCCGUUCGAAGAUUAUGCCAAGGAAAGGUCUUCGAAAAGACCUUUCUCCUCCAAGGACUUCCUAACGCUUCCCUUUCUUUUUUAAGGGUAUAAAAAACAAGAAAGUAUCGCUCAAGGAAAAACAGACAGCUCAGCUACAUCACCUCUUGCUUUGUCGCUACAGUUGGGAUUACUGAGAACAGGAAUGCUAUAGAAACUAAAAGGAAAACGAAGCAACUCUUUUCUCCAGUACUAUAGUCGGGUUCCGGGCACUAGCUCAGCAACAACAAGGUGCGGCAGCUAACUCCCGAAAAGAACAACCUUUGUGUUAGGCGAGGGUUUAUCACUGUAAACUAGCCAACUGGGAUUGGAUCUUUGAACUGCUACGCUCCAUCACCUCUUGCCUUGCGUGACCGGUUCUUCGAAGGCAAAGACCUUUCUUCUACUCAUUGUUCUCGAAAGGUAAUCGAGGAAGGCCUGUUGAUCCUGAGCUUUCUUUGGUCAGUUCAUCAUCAAAGGAUGAAAUCCUGAAUCUGGAAUAAGCUUCUAUGACCAAGUUGCGAGAUCGAGAAUGAGCUGCUUCAGAGACCAGAGGGAAAGAAAGUCGUUACACUUGGAGUCUCAGUUGGAGGACCUCUUACUCGAGAAUCGUAAUGUUAAAUCCUUUUCUAAAGCUCCAGAGGUUUAGUCAUAAACUCUUUAUCUUGACUUAGGAUCGAGAAGCUUAACUUACACAGAAUUGUUGAAGAGCGAGGGGAGGUGCUAAGGCUGGACUUUAAGGGCCCACCUUUCAUUCCCGCUAGGAUGGCUAGAAAAUAAAGUCCCUUCUGGCCCAUGUGACCCAUGUAGAAAGUUUAAUGAAAGAAAGUACUCAUCUUCUACUGUCUUUAGCCCUAGCUUGGAAAGCUUUGCCUGCAUCAUGUAAGGAGUCUUGCACUUCUUUCCUCUUCUUCCUUGGCUUUCCACCGCUCUUUGGGUGGGACUGUCUUCACGAGCUCUAGCUUUCUUCUGAAGAGCUUUCAUCUCCUCAGACAUGGCAUCCUUCCUACAAGUCUUUCUCUCGCUAUCCAGCUAUUCGGAUGAGACGAGACGUUACACUGACAAACAAAAGUGAAUCAAUUUCACAGAAUAAGGAGUCCGCCGAAGCGUUGCUAGGAGAUAGCCGAUUCUGCCCCACCCACUUCUGAUAAACGAAUCUAAGUGAGUAUGAGUAGUGGACCAAAUGGAACCAUGUGCGGUCAGACUGCUAGUUGAGGAAGGAUUCAAGGGUGGUGAGAACGACCAUUGCCUCUUUGCUCUCUUCUUAUAUUCUUCUUUUAUCCUUCGUAUCCUUUACGGAAGAGUUCCCAGAAACUUCAUGCUCCAAGUCUUGCAGUCGCCGAGGACGUACGCUGAACCAGAUUCCAUCGGUGCCUUAACGUUGGGUAAUUGCGCAUUCGUUGUGGCAUCGGUGAACUCGAGUUGCCAGUUCGGUUUACUGACGUCUUCCUUCCCCGUUUCCAAAGAGAAGGCAGCUUUCCUAAGGUUUCCCCCGGGUGAAUUCGGUGUCUGGGCAGCCCCUUCGGAUUCAAGGCAGAUGUUAUUUUGCCAUUUUUUAUAUUACGCCAGGUGGAGUCCCUUUGACACCCAGCCUAACUUCUCUAUUUCAAGCUCAGGGGAGAGAGUGAGUGCCCGAGGGCUUCCUGCUUUUCUCUCGCAUUCCAGCCUUCGUGUUCUAAGGAAUAGUCACAAACGGCUCGAACUAAAGGGUCCAUGGAGCAGACUACUAAUACUGGUAGAAAGAAGCUAUAACAAGAACAAGGAGAUUCUUUAUCAAAGAACUAGCAGAAGAUCGUACUCGCAGCUGACAGAGGAAACUGAAACACCUUAUAGCUUACAUGUCCCCGUAACUGAAAGAGUUGCAACCUCUCUUGUUGCCCUACUCGCUGGCUAUGACUGACUCCCUUGCUUUGCUCUCUCAUGACAGGCCUUCCUCGAUUACCUUCUCGGCCCUACCCUUGAAGAGGUAGGCGAUAGAAGGUCAGUAGGGGAUCUGGAAGACCCUUAUGGGUUAGGGGAUCAGUUAGCAGUAGGAGAGAGCUUACUGAACGGCUUUGAAGCAUAUAACGGCUGGCAGGCAUAUAAAGGCUCUUGGAGUGCGCUUUCGGACUUGGCCGAGAAUGAGAGCUUUUGAGUGGACAUAGUAGUCCUUGCCCCGGAAGCCCAGGAGUUGCAUUCUUUAAUCGCCCGACCCUCCGAGGAGGGGUUAGUCGCCAGCCCCGAGUGCCUUUGAUCCUUGGAAUUUCCUUUUGGUGUCUACUUCCGCUACUGUCAUGAUUUAGAUUCGAACCUCUUAUCUAGCGGUGCCAUGGGGACUACGAUAGACCGAUGCCAAGCAAAGCAAUGCUACCCGAAGACUUAAAUGAAUAGCUAUCGAUGAAAGAUCCCGCCCUUCCUCCAAGACUUGAAUCAGGAAGAGCUUUUAUUUACUGCCUUUUGCCUUGCGCUUGGUCUUUUUUAUUGCCUUGGCCUGUACAACUCUAUUUAUUAAGGGCUUGUUUUGUCUGAUCAAGCAAGCGUUUAAUCUCCUCCUCGCUUACCUUUCUGGGUCACAGCUAAGAGUUCUUUACUUUAUGUUGAUGUCAUACCCUAGGGUUCCUUCCCUCACUUCUUACUAGCAGCUCUUCCUUUACACCGGAGAACAACCUAUUCUUUUUCACAGCAAACCAUGAAGAGUCGAAAGAGUUCACCGCAGAAAGCAUAGUCAGAAGAGCUGAAACAGCUACCAAAGAGCUAGCUUUAGCUACCGGAGUCAACAAUAGGAACCACAGCAUCAUCCAAAUGAAGAAAGGAAGCUAAUAAGUUAGUUUCUCUUGCUUUUCUCGUCUUGAAUCGCCUGGUGUUUUUUGUUUUUUGCCUGGGUAAGAGCUUGACGUCGCCCUUUCGACAUAAUAAAAUCCCUUAAUAUAGAUUCUCUUUAUCCUAUUAAAGAUGCAUCUUGGUUCAAUCCUCCCUUCUUAUCUUUCUUCUAUCGUAGAAGUUGACAAUAAACUAUGAAUAGCAGUAGCCUAAGUAACAGCAUCAAUUAUAGUACAAUUCCCUCUAUUGUGACUGAUUCACCUAACGCCAUAGCUAAUAUCACAGCUCCAAUCAUAGCAGCCAAUGCUACUGUUCGAGUGUUUGGCUUAAGCAGGAGAACCCUUUAGGGAGAGAAAGUCCUCUCCAAGUGAGAGAUCAAUCCAACUAAGAAAGAAUGUAUGUGUUAAGCAUUGGUUGCAGCAUCGAAUUAGACUGGCCCAAGACCAAGACAAGGAACGAAAACAUUUCUUUGCGUAGGGCUUUUUAGCUAGCAGGCUUAGAGAAAGGGGUGACUUCGUUUUCCCGGGUAGCGCGAGUGAAAAUGCCAGCCUCUCAUAACAAGGAUCGGAGGUUUAUUAAUUCUAUAUUUUUCUUGUUUGGCAGAAGAGAAGCGGGCACCUCAAGCUAUAGAGUCGGGGAGUAAGAACUCGGGGAAGGUCUUACUGUGACUUUCUCGGCAUCGAAGUGGCCUCUUCACCUCAGGGAUAUAUUCUAUCGCAAGUUAAGUAUGCUUCCGAUCUUAUUGCUCGUGCUGGUCUCUCCGACAAGACAAUAAGAUUGCUGAUACUCCUUUGGAACUCAAUGUCAAGCUUCGGCCAACGGAUUGGGAACCUCUUUCAUGGAUCCAAUCUCCUACGUGCUGCUUUCUUUUUUUCCUAGCGCUGUUCCUUCGCUGCUUUAUUGUUCGCCUAGGUACGCGUUUUGAUCUGCCUCGGGCUUUUUCUUUGUUUCUAUAGGAUCUGCUGCUCCAACCGUAUCUAUUUGUGAUAUACCUGGGUUAGUUUGGCCUCUUCCGUAACCCUUGCCGCUGAUGGUUAUGGGUAAACCACAGUAAAGCAGAAAGGAAUGCCUCUCGGAGAACGUUUUUAUCACCGUUAAAGCAGAGAGAGAAGUCUCUAAAACAGCUAUGGUUUGGGUUCUCACUCACGUCGUCCGUCCCGGGGACUCCAUUACGCUGCUCGCCCUAUUAGCCUAGCCGGCGGCCACCGUGGUAAUUCAUUAAUUUCAGCCAGUUCUGGGUUAUAUAUUGUAUGGCAAAACUCGCUAAUAGAUAUCUGUUUUCUCAGGAACCAGACCUACAUGCACGAAGAAGAACAUAUAUCUCUGGUCAUAUUCUUGUGGAACUUAUGUCGUCCCGUUCAUUGUGGUUCCUCGGCCCUGCUAGCCAUUUGCUUGCUCGAACUGUACACAUUCAAAGAGGGGGCAAGCUAAACAAGCAAGCAAGCCAUCCAAGUUUAUAGAGUCGGAGGUUAGAAAGAACUUGGAAGUUUCCUUGUGACUAACUUAGCGCACUUCCGGUGGUAGCCAUUGGGCUAAGUCUCUAUAAAGAGCCACUCACAUAUUUUUUUAUAGUUCGGUGUGAGAUCAGCUAAAUUAAGCUACGCUCAUCAUUUAUGAUCCACGGCUCGCUCAAUUAGAGCACUAAAACUACUUCAAAGGAAUUCAUUCCAAAGACGCUUUUAAUCGCUCCGCUGGAACGAUCUGGUCAAGAGGUUGUCCAGUCAUCUCGAUGAGGAAUUUCGCUGUGCCACCUGCUGACCUUACACUGUGAGUACUAUUGUAGCAAAGCCAACGGGAAGAUCAGUCCCAGGGCACAAUCUAGGCUGCCAGCCAAGAUGAAGAUAGAUUGAAGGGGUUGUCAGGGAGCUUCAUAGGGAAUUAUAGGAUCCCUAGCUCAAAAUAUUGCUGCCAACCAGGAUUCAAGGGAAAUAGAGUCGCUAGGAAAUCUGAUUCCAUAGUAAAGGCUGAGACAGACCCUAUGUUUACUUCAUAAUAGUCUUAGCUCGACAUUUUCAAGCCAUACUAUCUACCCAAAUGGAUUUUAAACUGACAUUUUAUCCUAUAUAUCGGAGAUAUAAGGUUUUCACUUCCGCUUAUGGUAACCAAACUCUUUCCCGGUAAGAAGAUCAAAGAUUUCCUUCAGGCAAGUUCAACUAUAGUUGGGAAAGGAACGGACCACAAGCUUCGCGCUCUGCCUUUCUUGCAUUUGGACUCUUUCGCGCUAUAUGCUGCUCUGCUCUCUCUGCGCGCUUAGCUUUCUUUUUGCUAUCGCGCUAUUGCCUGUUUCCUUCCCUUUAAGAACAAGGGCUCUUCCAGAGUGAACACUGUAAUCAAAUCCUUCUGCUGUUCUUCUACCUGACCCAUCGACCUGGAAUCAAAUCAAUUCCUUUGCUUCGGCCUCUUUUUUUGUUCCGCCGGCGAGCCCGGCAACCCCAUCCCGAAUAAGGCACCCUUUUCAACAGCCUUUUCGGCUAGCGCGUUCUGUUCUUCCGUAAUGCGGGACAGCUUUUUGUCCAUGGCCCGCAAGAGGCGCUCGUCCGGCUCGCCGGUCCAACAAUCCGAUGGGCCAGCAGCCUCCGCUCGCUGCGGACGACUCACAAACGCAACCACUAUUGUAAUCAAAAAUCCGGAGCCCGGCGAUUCCGCCCACACGGCCCCACUGGAAGAGCACCAAGCAGAACCUCCCCUCUUGCACGUGGAAGUAAAAGAGAACGUACACAACUUUCUUAGGGCACAUUGUAAAAUAGAACCUAAGUCUAAUUUUGUAAACAAGCUAGUAGAGGAUCUUCAUCUUCAAGAGUCGGAUCCUACUAGGCUUAAAAAGCUAAACGCAAUUAUGAACGCGCUGCUACAAUGCAGGGGUAUCCAGAAUCCGAGUCACGCCGCAAAUCUUCUCAAGGCGAGUAUCAAGGAAUGGGACGCAAACAGGACUCUUUAAUUUUCUACAGGCAAAUCCAUUCGGGGGGCUGCUAAUUGGGGGAGACUGUAUUAUUCUGCGAGAGGGCCGCCCCUCUCGUAUCAAGCUAUGGCAGGUCGCCGACUGAAGAACCUAACGGAACUUUUCAAAGACCAGGGCGGUUGCCGCUUUCAAGACUAGAACGAAGGUCGAAUCGUACGAACAACCGGAAUAAAAGAAAGAAGGUUCAUUUUCCCACGUAGUUCGUCGGUCAAACCAACGAUUCUCUUCUCAAAGUAAUAGAGAGAUCUUUUUCUAGUUAGACUUCUAUCAAUGCAAUGAAAGAACCAUCCCUUCCUAUUUGUUUGUCCUGUCAGAUAGAAAGAAAAUUAUACCCCAAAGAGCCCUUCUUUACCACUUUAGGGGGUGGGGGUCUCGGGGGGGUUUACAUACAACCGAGGCAAAGUAGUUUAUGAUUGAAUCUCAGAGGCAUUCUUAUCAUUUGGUAGAUCCAAGUCCAUGGCCUAUUUCGGGUUCACUCGGAGCUUUGGCAACCACCGUAGGAGGUGUGAUGUACAUGCACCCAUUUCAAGGGGGUGCAACACUUCUCAGUUUGGGCCUCAUAUUUCUCCUAUAUACUAUGUUCGUAUGGUGGCGCGAUGUUCUACGUGAAUCCACGUUGGAAGGACAUCAUACCAAAGUCGUACAAUUAGGACCUCGAUAUGGUUUUAUUCUGUUUAUCGUAUCGGAGGUUAUGUUCCUUUUUGCUCUUUUUCGGGCUUCUUCUCAUUCCUCUUUGGCACCUACGGUAGAGAUCGGAGGCAUUUGGCCCCCAAAAGGGAUUGGGGUUUUAGAUCCUCGGGAAAUCCCUUUUCUUAAUACCCUUAUUCCCCCUUCAUCCGGAGCUGCCGUAACUUGGGCUCAUCAUGCUAUACUCGCGGGGAAGGAAAAACGAGCAGUUUACGCUUUAGUAGCUACCGUUUCACUGGCUCUAGUAUUCACGGGCUUUCAAGGAAUGGAAUAUUAUCAAGCACCCUCCACUAUUUCGGAUAGUAUUUAUGGUUCUACCUUUUUCUUAGCAACAGGCUUUCAUGGGUUUCAUGUGAUUAUAGGUACUCUUUUCUCGAUCAUAUGUGGUAUUCGCCAAUAUCUUGGUCAUCUGACCAAGGAGCAUCACGUUGGCUUUGAAGCAGCAGCAUGGUACUGGCAUUUUGUAGACGUGGUUCGGUUAUUCCCAUUUGUCUCUAUCUAUUGGUGGGGAGGUAUAUGAAGGAACGAAUCAGUGGAUUGAGGAAUGAAAGCUCGAAGACAAAGAGAACCGGGCUUUUCCAAAGAAUUACUGCAGCUUUCCCACUCCCUUUGAUUAUCAUAUACAAAAAAGUAUCUUCCACUUUCCUACCAAAUCUCUCUGUAUUCUGGCACAUAAAUGAAGGGGUCGAAGAGAUUAUGGCAGAUCAUGUUCACCAAGAAAUGACCCGAAAUUUGAUCUUGGUCUAUUUGAGAUUGUUCCUUUUAAUCGUAAUAAAAGAUGUUUUCUUGUCUCUCGUUUCUUUUCUGAACAAAUCGAAGAACCUAAUGGAUCGAACUCAUCCUUGGCUGCUACGAAAGAAAUCUACCUUUCUACCAGUAGUUCGAAUGGAAGGGAACUCUCUUUUCUCAGCACUUGAUAAACGAAUGCCACCUUGCUUAACACUUUUAAAUAGAUCUAUUGUCGGGAAGAGCAGUAAUUGGUGGUCUGGUGUGGAUUGGCGCAUAAGCAGCUAGUCCUAAUCUAGGCACAUACGCCGGUUAGAGCUGCUAAUCAGUUGGUUAGGCCGGUAAGAAGCAAUGGGGCAGGGGAGGAGGGAUUCGGCAGAGGGUAACUGAUUUAGCGGUCGGGUUGUAAAUGAAUGACAUAGCGUUCUUGACGUACUGGAGUUAUAACAUUUAUCCCCAUUCCUGUAGUAAAGAAACCCACAAUGAAUCCCAAUAUUCUGGAAUUCUUAUCCGAUAUGGCAAAAGAAAUAUUGACUAUUGCUGGUGUUGCGUAUAUUCCUCUCGUAGUGUUACUAGUCUUUAGGGCAGGACGCCUAAGAGGUUUGAAUGAAGAUACAUAUGCCGAAAAGCUGUUGGACCUGGGUUUUGAUACAAUAAAGGAGCAAAUCAAGAGUAAAAUAGAAGACUUGCUCCAGGUAUAUUAUAAUAAUAAUAAUAAUUUCAUUUUGCCGUCUGGUCGGAGGAUUCAAGACGUAGCAGCCCACCUCCAUAAGGAUUCAUAAUCCCUGGAACAGCUGCUUACGAUUUUGAAAAAUCUUACCGAGUGCAAAGUACAGAAUUUCAACACGUUUUACUCUUACUCUCGCAGUGAAUUUGUUAGAUCUUGGAUGGAAGAACAUUAUUUACGGAGCUACUACAAUGGAUUUAGCAGAAGUACUUCUUUAUUAUAAGCGAGGGCCACCAUUCGAAAAGCUAUUGAUUCUAGGAGGACUAUAAUGAGGAGGACGACAGACCAUGAUCAGACCACGAUCGACUAACAGGGAAGUCGCCCGAUAGGGCAGAUAUUGGUUCAAAUCCAAUUCGUGAGAUGGCGGGGAGCUUUAAUAUUAUUGCGAGAAAAAGACAACCGCACUGUCAGCCUGGAUUCCUUGACUUACUGAUCUUUCUUCUUUAAGAUAAGAGCCCGCUACGCCCCUUCUGCGACUUUCUUUCCUUGGCGAGAAGGGUUAGCAGGGAAAGCAGCCUUGUUGAUUAAAGUAAAGGACCAGGGGUCUAGCGCUUUUUUUUUGUUUUGUGGGAAUACCCGCCUUUUAAUAUGGAUAUCAAUGACUAAAGUCUCUUCCCGGCUAAGCCCGAAAGAAAAAGAAAGAGAGUUAGAUCCGAGAGUGAAUUAGAGACAUUAUCUCACAGAUGAAAGAAAAGAGGUCACUUGUUUAAGUCAAGCAAUCGUAGAGACCGAGAAGAGUUUGCAGUGACAAUUUUCCCUCUACAGGCCUCUUAAAGGCAGAACCAAAGAGAGUAGUGAGGGGAGAGGAGUUCAAACCCGACUCAAGGCCUAGUAGAUCUCUUCCUGCUACCUUACUUACUUCCCUGGGGGAGGUUGAGUUGAAGAAGCUGUGACAGAACAAGCUGUUACAGAAUCAGCAGCUAUUGAACCCCGGAAGAAGGACUACUGGUAGUGGUUCGUCUUAUCUUAUUAGUAGCGGUCAGUGGGAAGAAGACUAGCUCUGGCUUUCAAGCGUGAACCAGGUCUUGGAUUCGGCAUUGGUUGGGCAUGGCAUUAGAUUAGGAAGGGGCCUAAGCUAAGCCCUGAAAUUGGAAUGCUUUACUCUUUGGGUUUAGGAAGAGAAAAGCACUGUUUAGCUUAGAUCCUCUUUGAGAUGAAAUGCGGAAAAGUCCUAAUCAAAGGCGAAAGGCGCCAUCCAAGCAAAGUGGGAAUACCCAGCAAGAUCCGACCAACAAUCGAGUUCAUACCCGGCUCAAGGCUUUAAAGAAGAAAGCCCAGGCUCAAGGGCCCAUCUCCCUUUCUCUAAUAAGAAGGUCCGCUUUCAAGCCCCUUGACUUUCUAUUCUAUUAGUCAAGGNNNNNNNNNNNNNNNNNNNNNNNNNNNNNNNNNNNNNNNNNNNNNNNNNNNNNNNNNNNNNNNNNNNNNNNNNNNNNNNNNNNNNNNNNNNNNNNNNNNNCGGCAUUGGUUGGGCAUGGCAUUAGAUUAGGAAGGGGCCUAAGCUAAGCCCUGAAAUUGGAAUGCUUUACUCUUUGGGUUUAGGAAGAGAAAAGCACUGUUUAGCUUAGAUCCUCUUUGAGAUGAAAUGCGGAAAAGUCCUAAUCAAAGGCGAAAGGCGCCAUCCAAGCAAAGUGGGAAUACCCAGCAAGAUCCGACCAACAAUCGAGUUCAUACCCGGCUCAAGGCUUUAAAGAAGAAAGCCCAGGCUCAAGGGCCCAUCUCUGUCAUAUUGUCAAGCCAAAGAAGAGAGAAAGCCUAGCCCUUAAAGCAAGCCUGCUGCACCUUCACUUCCUUCCGUACCUGAUUCUUAGUCUGCUCUAAAGGCAGCCAGUGACUCGAGGUCUUCUGGAGUGAAAUCACUCUCGGGUAAUUCCAUGGUUCAGCUCUGGUUCAAAUGGUAUCUGGGGUAUAUCUCUUAUCUGUUGUUCACGAAUCCGUUUCAGGUUUUCAGGCAUACCCGGUCUUUUCUCUUUCAGUUGCUGCUCCGGGGAAAGAAGUUUCAUUGGAGAAGGUGGUAUCUUCUAGUUGAUCACUUAAGCUUUUAGCUUAAAGGACUUAUCUUUGCUUGAACUUAGCCCGAGUAAGGCCGACUUAAAUAAAGAUAACUAGGUGCCAAGCCUUUAUAUAAAACCAUUUCUUUCUCUCUGGGAAUCAUAGCCUACUGAAGUACCAAAGGGUUGAGACUUUCCUUCUGAUCCUAGUUCUUGGCACUGGGAAGAGUCUCUAUAACCUAUAGGGUAAGGAGCAAUAGACGGAAUUCGCCCUAGAACCGUUAGGCUAGGCUCAUUAGACGUAGACGGAAUUAGUCUGGUAUGGCUGAAGAAUGGUUUCAUCAGUUGAAUUUUGGAAGGUCAUAUCGUAUUAUAAAAAAGAAAACCCCGUUGUUAAAAUAGCUUGCCUUUCCUGCUUUGCCUAUCCAUUUGUUAAACAUAUUCUUUUUUCGAUUGCACAGUUGAUUGGCAAGCCUAUAACCCUAGAUAUGGCGACGGCAAAUCUGACGAGACCUAGUGUAGCUAGGGUUUGCAUUGAGAUUGGUUCUCUUCCACGUUACUGCUCUUCUUUUUUUCGGCAAGGUCAUGACCAUGAGCAUUGGAAAGUUCUUCAUACGCCUCCUGUCCAAGUCUGCAAGGUUAAGCAAACGCUAGAAAAUAACAAUGCGAAGAAGACGGAUCCUGAAUCGAGUAAUCGUGAGGAUCAACCUAUUGUGAUUGAGGGUGAUUGCGGAGAUAAUGCUGCUGGGAGCCAACCUGACGAGAAAGAGCUUAAUUCCUCUAUAGAUACUGGUGGUAAGGCGUCACAUGAUCAUCAAGCAGAUAACAGUGUAUUGUCAAGACAAGAGAUGACAGGUAUGCAAGUAAAGAUCCUAGCUCUUCUAAGGGGUUAUAGGUGAGGAUACUGAAGUUAUUGAGGUAGAUACUCAAGGUCUUAAUCCGAUUCCAAGGGAUGAGACUCCUGAUGCCGGGACUGAUGUCAGUCAUGAACGAAACUUGCAAGAGGAGCAUUAUGCGAAUGGUAAUGACAAUUAUGAGCAACAAGAUGUUGAAGGGUUAAGCUUAUCCCCUAGGGCCAUUCCCGAUGAUUCUGGUAAUGAUGGAAUUGGGCCUGCUUUGAACAAUGUUUGCCAGGAACUCAAUUUGGACUCCUCGUUGGAUGGCAGGGAGUCUAUUAGCUUACAAAAUGCCUUUGGGCCUUUGAAUUUGGAUAGGCAGACACCCUAUGGGGAUAAGGAUGGGGCUACCACUGUUCGUAAGGAUGCAGGAAAGCAGAAAAAGAAAUCAGCUACUACUGUUGGUGCAGGAACAACAAUGCAUUUGAGGUCUCACAAUAAGCCUUCUCAAUCUCCUCCUCGACAUGUUUCCUCAUGAUAGGGGGAAUUCUAUGGAAUAUAAGAGGUAUUGGCAACUCCCCUUCACUUAGAAGGCUUCGUAGGCUUGUUAAAAUGUAGAAUUCUUCUCUAGAAAUUCGGAUCAAUGGUACUCCAUCUUAAUACUUCCUGCCUUCGUCAGGCAUAAGACAGGGUUAGGAACAAGUCUAGUUAGAGCUAAUUCGGUAAAGUAGUCGCCCCUAAGCAAUGUGAAUUGGAAAAACAUUCCUAAUGUCGGCGAAUCGCGGGUUUGGAACCCUAUACAAGGGGCUGGUCUCGAUCUCGCUUGAUGGGGCCCCUCUCGAUGAUUGAUUGUUGACUCAACAUUGAUUUCGUGCUUGAGUUGGAGGGCUCUCCCUCCAUCCAUCGAGUCAAGUAAUUCGCUAUCGGAAAUUUGCACUUGUCUCAAUCAAGCGCCUAUCGCAUGCCAUGCUUCUUCUGUCUCCGAAUCGGUUCCUCGUGUCAGUCAAUCAAGAUGCGCCAUCAAGAGAGGAAAGAGCCUUUACUUUUGGGUAGGCCGGUCUCGUCAUUCACGCAAUUCCCCCGUCCAUCGAUUGAUCACGCGAGUACGCAUCCAGUCAGCGCAUAGCGAAUGAAAAAAGCGUUCAUCCUGGAUUCUCUUCCUCAAUCCAAAUUUCUAGAAAUGGAUCCCCGGUCAAAGUCUCCACGGCCUUUUCACGCCCCUCUACUAAGAGGUGCACCAUGUUGAUAGGAAUCGGCAAAGACCUUCUUGUACACGUCCUCGAGGGCAGCAUUCAUGGCAAUCAUCACUAGUUUCCCCCGAGGGCAUGGUAUGGCUUUGUUCUUGGUGUUGUUUAAUAGAUGUCGAGUGCCGCUUUUCCCCGUCCGAGAAUCUCCAUCUGCUUUAAGUGGGCGAGCUAGAAUCCUUAUGUCAGGUUGGUUGUUCAAAAGACUUUCUCUUUCCCCUUUGCAUCUUCAUCUUUUCAAAAGCCCAGACCCAGUCUUCUGGAUCUGCAUUAGUCCUAUUUCAGGUGCAAAGCCUCUUCACAUCUCAGAUGCCCACAAUGCCAAUGGUGAAGGAGCUUUCUCUCUUUCUUUUCUUUCUCCCCCAUUUCUCAUUUUGUUGAUUGAAAGAGAAUAAGCGCUAUCCAUUGAGUAAAGGGGGGUUUGCUACAGUGAUUCGGGCGGUUGGUGGCCCCUUCGAGAGUUGCGGGUCCUUGCCGCUGCAUGAGUGGUAGCUCACGCUCAAAACUCCUCCGACACGAGUCCUAGUCGUUGCGCUGCGGUCCGUUUCCCGGCUUCGCUUGCGCGAUUUGCACUUCUGAUUGGUUCCAUCCAUCCCCAACCCUAAUGAAUCGAGUAUGAAGGGGUCAGUCAAGCGGUUCGGGUUUUCGGUCGGUUCCCGUUCGCCUGCCCCCCUCAUAGCCCAUUAGUGGGUAGGGUGGUAAACUUAGAGGGCGCCCGCCUCCUCUUCAGACGUGUCCUCGACAACCUGGCGGUUCUUCGGUCUCCGCUUUUGGGGGCGGGAGUGCGGGUUUCCUUUUCCUCAACCAAUUCGGUUGUGUCAGCCGGUCUAACAUUUUGUUAUGAGCUGGCUGGACAAAGAUGGAUUUAAGGUAAGAUAUAUUUGAGUUCAAAUGGCACAGGACCUUCGAUCGACCAUAGGGCGUAUUCUACCCUUACCGAAUUCAUUUCAUUCUAUUAAAGCGUAACGUAAAAAGCGACUUCUCAUGUUGCAUUUCUUUGGUUUGGAAGUUCCAGAAUGUUUUCUGUGGAUUUAUAACAAAGGAAAGCCCUACCAUUUGAUUUAUUCAAGUUCCGUGCUGCUCACCACUCCUCGAGGCCAAGGACGGGGUCGAACCGUCAUUCCAGGAUUUGCAGUCCGAUACAUUUCCAUUAUGUUACCUAGCCAAACCCGCCACCUCAUGUGCCAAAGUAAAACGGUUGUUCUUCCUUCCGGGUUCAGUUUGCUUGUUUCAUACAGGAGAUACUGUUCUCUUCUUUCUUCAUAGGGUUNNNNNNNNNNNNNNNNNNNNNNNNNNNNNNNNNNNNNNNNNNNNNNNNNNNNNNNNNNNNNNNNNNNNNNNNNNNNNNNNNNNNNNNNNNNNNNNNNNNNUCCGAGCCAGAUGGUAUUGUCAGAACAGGUGCCGAAAUGAGUCUCCUCUUGAGUUCUUGAAAACUCUUCUCACAUUCUUCGCUCCAACCGAACUUUGUAUCUUUCUGAGUUAGCUGAGUUAAUGGUGUAGCGAUUCGAGAAAAUCCUUCCACGAAUCUCCGAUAAUAACCCAAAAGUAUGGUUGACUUUGGAAGAUUGACGAUCGCCUCCCUUGCUAUAUUAGUCCCUCCCUUUUCGGGUUAUUUGGGCGGAGCCCGGUAUUCAUUGAUCACAGCAACAACAGAAAAGACCAGCAGCGGCUUCCCGAAACCGUAUGGCUAUUCCUUCCCUUGACCUUCCUUCUACUUUUUUUACCUUAUACUAGCAAUUCCGAGGAAAUCCGAUUUCAUAUUUCAUAGUCACUCUUUUUUAUUCUAGAAUUUUCUAGUAAAGACCGACUGGUCAAACAGAAGAGCUCUCGCUCAACGGACCUAAACCGAGAAAGGUACGUACUUCGGUCACUGAUUUAGAUUGCUCCCAGCUUUGAAUAUCUUCAAUCUUUGCCGGGUCAAUAAAUAUUCCAUGACUUGAUACUACGUGCCCAAGGAAUGCUACUUCCUCAAGCCAGAACUCGCAUUUCUUCAACUUGGCAUAAAGCUUAUAUUCACGAAGCUUUUGGAGUAUCAGCCUCAAGUGUUGCUCAUGAUCUUCACGGCUUUUGGAAUAAAUAAGGAUGUCAUCAAUAAAGACGACCACAAAGUGAUCCAAAUAUUCCUUGAAUACUCGGUUCAUCAUAUCCAUGAAGGCAGCAGGAGCAUUAGUCAAUCCAAAGGACAUGACUAGGAAUUCAUAAUGCCCGUACCGAGUUCUGAAAGCCGUCUUUGGAAUGUCAUCGGUUCUAAUCUUCAAUUGGUGAUAUCCGGAACGAAGAUCAAUCUUUGAAAAGAAUUUGGCUCCUUGCAACUGGUCAAACAGGUCAUCAAUACGUGGCAAUGGGUACCUAUUUUUGAUGGUGACAUGAUUCAACUCCCGAUAAUCAAUACAAAGUCGCAUACUCCCAUCUUUCUUCUUCACGAAUAGAACAGGAGCACCCCAAGGAGAAGUACUAGGACGAAUAAAGCCAAUGUCUAACAAUUCCUGCAGUUGGGUCUUUAACUCCUGAAGUUCAAUAGGAGCCAUUCGAUAUGGGGCUUUGGAAAUGGGUUUUGUACCGGGUUCAAGGUCGAUACAAAAUUCAAUUUCACGCUCUGGGGGUAGGCCAGGAAGUUCUUCAGGGAAUACGUCAGGAAAUUCAUUAACAAUAGAAAUAUCAUUCAAAACUGACGUAUUUUUGUUUAGAUCCGUGACAUGAGCUAAGAAAGCUUGACAUCCGUUUUUCAAUAAACGAAUAGCUUUAUGGCUUGAGAUGACAGUGAUUGAUUUUAAUGGUUUGGUUGCUUGAAUUCGCAUAAUAGGUUGGUUAGGAAUAUGAAAGCUAACAACCUUACGAAAACAAUCAAUUUUUGCAUGAUGAGUAGUUAACCAAUCAAUCCCUAGAAUCACGUCAAAUGCAAGUAUUUUCAAUGAAAUAAGAUCGACAGGUAAUGUGAGGGUACCGAUUUGAACCAAACAAGACUUAUAAACAGUGGAUGUAAUGAAGGUUUCUCCCAACGGAGUUUCCACAGAUAAGUCAAAGUCUAAUUUCUCCGGAGUCAAAUUUAAUCGUUGAGCGCAAGUAGGAGAAAUAAAAGAAUGGGUAGAACCGGUAUCAAAUAAAGUAUAGACUUCGCUAGAGUUUAUGAUAAGCUUACCCGUGAUGACCUCAUUCGGGUUCCUUGCUUUCUGGGAGGUCACAACAAACGCUCUCCCUUGCACUACCGGCUUUGACUUUUCUGGGACGGCCUUUGGUGCCUCCAUCCUAGCUGAAUUUGUCUUCGGUGAACGACAAAAUCGGGCUAAGUGACCUUCUCUUCCACAAUUAUAACAUGCUUUGGACGGCAUCGCGCAGUUUGGACUGAUGUGUCCCUCCCCUCCGCAUUUGAAGCAUAUGAUAGGUGGUCGUUCUCCUUCCUUAACAACGGGUGCUGGUGCUGACGUCUUUCCAUCAUUGUUGAAUCUCCUCUUCUUGAAAUGUCCAUUCUUAUUGUUUUGGCCCUGAUUACCACCGAAGUGGUUACCAUUUCUGGCCUGUUGAUUCCCUCCACGCUUGUUGUCACCGCUUCGAUGACUGCUCUCACUGGUAUUAUCAUUUUGUCGGCUGCUCUCUUUUGGUUGCGUUGACUCGUUAUCGCUCUCCACUAACUGAGCCCUAUUUACAACAUCUGAAUACAAACACAGUUUAUGAGAAAUAAGAUGUUGACGUAUCUCCGGCUUCAAACCUCUUAAAAACACCCGCGUCAUUCUUUCUUCAUUAUCCACCAAGUGGGACGCAAACCGGGACAACUCGGCAAACUUUGCUUUGUACUGCGACACGGUCAUAUUAUUCUGUUCCAACUUGAUGAACUCCACCUCCUUCAUGUGACGAAUACUUUCGGGAAAGUACUUGUCGUUGAAUAGUUCUUGGAACUUCUCCCAAGAUAUUUUCAGUGCGGCAGGUUGAGUACGCUUUACCAAUUCGCACCAGUAAUCUGCCUCUCCUCGCAACAUAAAGGCUGUAAAGGGAACCUUUUGCUCCUCGGAGCAUCCUAAGACAUCAAAUAUCUUGGUGAUCUGCUUUAUCCAUGCUUCCACCUUAAGUGGUUUUGGCUCUCCAAUAAACUUCGGUGGUCCCAGCUCCUUGAACUGUUUAGCGGUGACCGUCCGAGAGUUUCCAGUGUUUCCACCUAUAUUUUGGACAGGAGCCACUCUCGCCUGCUAUUGCAAGAAUUGCAUAAAGCCUCUAAACAUUUGAUCAUUCAUUAUUUGGUCAGUGUUGUUGUUUGCAUGAGGAUUAUCGCCUUCCUGAUGCACAUUAUCCUGAUUAUUGAUAUGUGGUGAAUCAACGGUCGCCUGUACUCCAUUGCUAUUCUCAAUAUUCUAGGAUGUCAUUUUCAGAUACUUCCACAAAACAAAGGAUAAUUGACAUGUAACAUAUUAUCCCUAAAUUCCGACCGACCAAUUAAAUACCACAUAAACUUAGGUAGGUCAUACUAGCGAAGGAAUUCCCCGUCUCUCCCCAGCUAGUACUAUUCUCACAUCUUAGCCAGGGAUCAUAUCCCUAAGCUUUGAUACCAACUGUGACGCCCCCAAAAUUAGGUAUACAUCACCCAUCUUGAGUCGCCAGAUACAUGGUACAGAAUUCAAAUACAACUUAAUAAUACAAUUGUCGUGUACAAUACGACAAAACAUAAACUGUGAGUUUGAAUACAAAUAUUGUCUACUAGAGANNNNNNNNNNNNNNNNNNNNNNNNNNNNNNNNNNNNNNNNNNNNNNNNNNNNNNNNNNNNNNNNNNNNNNNNNNNNNNNNNNNNNNNNNNNNNNNNNNNNAGAAUAUUUCCAUGAAAAGAUACUGGAUGAAGCGCAAAUAUCAAGGAUAUUCCACUAAUUUCAUGGAGUAUAGAAGUCAAAGUUUUAACCAACUGAGUAUAAUAAAGAAUGGAAUAACAAAAGAAAUCACAAUGCAUGCGAUAGACCGCACAUGCAGGUUAUUCCAACAGAAUAAUAAAUAACGGAACCAGGUCCGGCGUAAAACGCACAGACAGGAUAUUCCAACAGAAUAAUAAAGAAUAGAACCAGGUCCGACGUAAAACGCACAGAUAGGAUAUUCCAACAGAAUAAUAAAGACUGGAACCAGGUACGGCGUAAAACGCACAGACAAGAUAUUCCAACAGAAUAAUAAAGACUGGAAUAACAGAAGUUCUCUUCAUGAAUACAAAAGAAAUAACACCCCUUACAUUAGUAGGAGAUUGAAUAUUGCAGUAGUGUAGUAACAGAAUACUCUUCUUCUUUCUCUCUUAUUCUCUCUAUACUUUCUCUCUCUAUAUCUUGAAUGAAUUCGUGAAAAAUAAUGAACUAGGCCUUUAUUUAUAGAAGAUUUCUAGCUUAGCACUUGCAAUGUGAAAAGGCAAGCGGCUUGACAACUGGUGAUGUGAAAAGAAAAGUGGUUUGACGCCUGUAAUGUGAAACACCAAGUGGGUUGACGCCUGUAAUGUGAAACACCAAGUGGUUUGACGCAUGUAAUGUGAAACGACAAUUGGUUCGACGCCUAUAAUGUGAAACGACAAUUGGUUCAACGCAUGUAAUAUGAAACGGCAAGUGGUUUGAAGUCUGGUAAAGGUAAUUACUAUUGGAGAAAGAGACUCUUAGAUGAUGACAUAUGGGCCCCCAUAGAAUAACCAAAUUUACCACAAACGUCUCAUAAUAGACUCUUUAUAUUAUCAAUGAUUGAAUAAAUAUUACCACAAAUCAUUUUAUUUUUAAUCAACACAUAUUUAAUCUUUUAACAAUUAUUAAUCAUUAAUAUUAUAACUUAUCGUCUCAAUUAUUGAUUUAAUAAUAUAACAUAUUAUACAGAUGAUAUUGUGACAAUAAUUGAAUCAAUAAUAUAAGAGAUAUGAUGCAGCAAUUACUGUAGCAAUAAUUGAGUAUAACUGAGUGACUUCUCACGUAAGUAUCAAUAUCAAUACCGUGUGCUACUAUACAACCACGCGCAUUACUGUACUUUUACUACCGGGUAGUUCAACAGGUUUAACGGUAACACCUUCGCCGUUAUUUUUAUAGAAAGAUAAUUUGGUCAUUUUCUAACUACGACAAUACUUUCGUUGUGGGGUCCACCAAUGAUUGUGCCGUCGUACGAAUAUUCCCUGACAAAAAGAAUAUUCUCCGACCAAUCGAAUAUUAUAUAACCACUUGCUUACUUUGCAAAAUUUGUAAAUAUUACCCACAACUAUAACAUUAUAUCAAAUCAACACCAUAAUAUUCAAAAAUAUAAUUCGAGAAAAUUAUUCUUUAUUCAUAAAAGUUGGGGUCUUACANNNNNNNNNNNNNNNNNNNNNNNNNNNNNNNNNNNNNNNNNNNNNNNNNNNNNNNNNNNNNNNNNNNNNNNNNNNNNNNNNNNNNNNNNNNNNNNNNNNNNNNNNNNNNNNNNNNNNNNNNNNNNNNNNNNNNNNNNNNNNNNNNNNNNNNNNNNNNNNNNNNNNNNNNNNNNNNNNNNNNNNNNNNNNNNNNNNNNNNNNNNNNNNNNNNNNNNNNNNNNNNNNNNNNNNNNNNNNNNNNNNNNNNNNNNNNNNNNNNNNNNNNNNNNNNNNNNNNNNNNNNNNNNNNNNNNNNNNNNNNNNNNNNNNNNNNNNNNNNNNNNNNNNNNNNNNNNNNNNNNNNNNNNNNNNNNNNNNNNNNNNNNNNNNNNNNNNNNNNNNNNNNNNNNNNNNNNNNNNNNNNNNNNNNNNNNNNNNNNNNNNNNNNNNNNNNNNNNNNNNNNNNNNNNNNNNNNNNNNNNNNNNNNNNNNNNNNNNNNNNNNNNNNNNNNNNNNNNNNNNNNNNNNNNNNNNNNNNNNNNNNNNNNNNNNNNNNNNNNNNNNNNNNNNNNNNNNNNNNNNNNNNNNNNNNNNNNNNNNNNNNNNNNNNNNNNNNNNNNNNNNNNNNNNNNNNNNNNNNNNNNNNNNNNNNNNNNNNNNNNNNNNNNNNNNNNNNNNNNNNNNNNNNNNNNNNNNNNNNNNNNNNNNNNNNNNNNNNNNNNNNNNNNNNNNNNNNNNNNNNNNNNNNNNNNNNNNNNNNNNNNNNNNNNNNNNNNNNNNNNNNNNNNNNNNNNNNNNNNNNNNNNNNNNNNNNNNNNNNNNNNAAAUGAGCAGACUUAGUCAAUCUAUCAACAAUGACCCAAAUCACAUCUAUGCCUUGAGAAACCUUAGGAAGACCGGUAACGAAAUCCAUGGUAAUGUGCUCCCACUUCCAUUCUGGAAUUUCAAGUGGUUGCAAUGGACCUUUUGGUACUUGAUGCUCCGCUUUAACUCAUUGACAAGUUAGACACCUUGAGAUAAACAGCGCUAUCUCUCUCUUCAUAUUGCUCCACCAAAAUGUAUGACGAAGAUCAUGAUACAUUUUGGUACUCCCAGGAUGGAUUGCAAACGGUGUGUAUGACGAAGAUCAUGAUACAUUUUAUACUUUAAAUCAGGGUCGUUAGAAACACAAAGUCUGGAGUUGACUCGGAGUAUUUAUAAUUCCGUGUAUAAGCACACCUAGAGGGGGGUGAAUAGGUGUCUAAGCCAAAAGUAAUCAACAAUGACCAAUUGGCUACUAAAGUAAUUUCGAAGUUGAUUGUAUAUAUAUUACCUUCCCUGUUGGCUACUAAAGGAACAUUAUGUGAAGCAUGAAUAAUAGCACAUUUAUCUUUUUCAAAUAUUACUUUAUGACCACUAUCCAUUAGUUGACUUACACUAAUUAAAUUAUAUUUCAAUCCUUCAACAUGAUGGACAUUAUCAAUGAAAACCUUACCAUUUCCAAUUUUACCAUUACCAACAAUUUGGCAUAUGGUGUCAUCUCCGAAGGUAACAGUUCCUCCCUUCUUAGUAGUUAGUGAGAUGAAUUUAGUACUAUCGCCCGUCAUGUGUCUAGAACAUCCACUAUCUAGGACCCAUUUAUGUGAUGGUACUUUAGCUUUAAAACACACCUACAAAACAAAGAAGUAGCUCAUCGUUUUGGUACCCACAUUUGUUUGGGUCCAAUUUUGUUAGUAGCAAGUAAUUUUCCUUUCUUUACCAAAACUUCUUUUAUUUUCAUUUUAUUACAAUUAGUAUCAAAAUGUCCCUUUAAACCAUAUUUUUUGCAAGUAACAAAAGGUGAGCAAUAAAGAGGCUUGUUCCUUGGUUUAUUAUUUAUUACUCUAAUUUUAUUAGUAUUACUUUUUAUGUUCUUGACAUGAUUGUAUCCAAUACCUUGUUUGUCUAGACUUGACCUUUGAACUCCCAACAUAAUAUUUAGAUUUUCUUCUCCUUGAACAAAUUUAGCAAGAUCCCUUUUUAAUGAAACUAUUUCUUCCUCAUUAGUAUUUUGUACGUUAACUAUUUUUCCAUUAUUAAACGCAUCAAUACAUGUAUCUCUCACUUUUAAACUUUCUUUUAAAUUCUCAUUUUCCUUUUUAAGAGCAUUGUUUUCUUCAUUCAACUUGAUUGCACGAUUAUAUAGAAUUUUGUUAUAGUUAUCUAAAUAAUCAAUUUUAGCAUUUAACUUAGAUACUUCACUAGAUGUGCAAUCUUUAACUAUUUCUUGUUUUUCCUCAAUCAAAGUUUCUACUUCUUUCAUUAGAUCAUUUAUCCAAUUUUUUAAACGAGCAUUUUUCUCUUUAAUACGAAUGUUUUCAUUUUUUAAAACAAGAUAAUCAAAAAUAGUAAUUUUGCCAAGUUCAGUGUUUACCUCGGAUAAUUCCUGACUGUUUAACCCAGUGAAGCAUAGUUGAGCAGUUUCAUCAUCUUGAUCAUCAUGAUCGGAUUCAUCAUCGCUCUAUGUCAUAAAUGCUUUUCCUUUUGAAUUGUUUUCUUUGUUCUUAUUUUUGAGUUGAAAACACUCUCUCUUGUAGUGACCUGGCCUUCCACAUUCAUAACAAGUUUCUUCUUGUGGCUUUUGUUUGAAGUCCUUCUUGUUGUUGAAUGUUUUGCCUUGGAAUUUUGAUUUGUUCUUCUUUCUAAUCAGCUCUCUCAAUUUCCGGGUCAUCAUAGCUAUUUCUUCAUCAGAGUCUUCAUCAUCACCUUCAAUGUAGCUUUCCGCUUGUAAUGCUAAGGUCUUCCUUUUUGGUCUCUCAUCUUCUUCAUCAUACCUCUUUAGUUGAUUCUCAAAUUCUUCAAGCUCUCCAAACAAAGUGAGAGUUUCCAUAGUACUGAUUGUUGUUGAGUCUUGAAGGGUUAUAACCUUUGGUGCAAAUCGUUUGGGCAUGACUCUAAGUAAUUUUCUGUUUAUUUCCUUUUGAUCAAUUUUCCGGCCAAGCAUACUUAGUGAAUUCAUCAGUGUGAGGAAUCUAGCUUGAGCUUCUUUGAUUGAUUCAUUCUUCUCUAACUUGAAAAGUUCAUAUUCUUGCAUCAACAUGCUCAGCUUGACUUCUUUUACUUUAGUUGUUCCUUCGUGGCUCAUGAUGAUUGUGUCCCAUACUUCUUUUGAAGUAGUACACGCAGAGACUUUAUCGAUUUCAGCUUGAAUCAUUCCACUCAGCAGCGUGUUUAUGGCUUUGGAAUCAUAGGAUACCAUGUACGAUUCAUUGGAAUCCAUUUCCAUGAGAUUCUUUGGUCUCCCAUCAUUAUGUCUUGAUUAUAAAAGUAUUGCUUAAAACUAUGGGUUUAUCACAUAUUAUUACAACAACAACAUGUAGAUAAUUAAAUGUCUUUAGUAAAUGAAUAUUUUAUUAAUAAAUAAUUAAGAUUUUUUACAAAGUAUAUACUUUAUCAUCAUACAAGAUUGACUUAUAUGCAUACUACUUUCACUUAAGUCUGAGGCCUUUAUAUCAGACUGAAUUACCGACUGAACAUUUCGUCGAAAAAUUACAGACUAAUUCUGACAAAAAAUGCCUAUUUCCGACGGAAUAGUCCGUCGAAAAUAAGAUUUUUUUCAUGUAGUGGCUCUGUAAUUAAGCUAUGGCCCCAUUGAUAAAUAUGAAAGUCCUCAACUUCGAGUCAGAUUUUUAAUUGGAAUAAAACACAUACCACAUAUGGAGAUCAAAUCACAAACAUUGUUGCGGACUUAGAUUGCCACAUCACCAUACAUUGUUGAACAAAUUCACGAACACUUAACCCUUUUUCCCUUCUAGUUUCUAAGUGUUUCGGCCAACAAUCUAGGCUAGCUCUUUAUUUCUGCAGCAAGCUAAAGUUUCCCCCCUUACUUUUCCCCUUUUCCUACGAGCAACGACUACGAGCAACGACUGGCACUGUAACUCGACAUAAACAAUUUUUUUUGACAGAAAAAUAAAAUAAAAUUUGAAUAGUUUUACCUAGUCCCCACGAUGAACGAUUGGUUGCUUGCAAUUUCCGACUAAGCAGUUUCGAUCGAUAUCAUUCUCCUUCACAUCAACAUUGGAGUGGGUUGUCUAUAGCUUAAUCAGUAGAAUCGUCCUUGUCGUGUGCUAACUCCCAGGCUCUGAUGCCAACUUACACAGCAGAAGACAGAUAGAAAAUAGAAACAAUAGCAUGAAUUGAAUAUAUGUAACUUUGUAGUCACAGGAAUUCACAAAGUUGGAUAAAAUUGACUAAACGCAGCCACAAGGUUUAUGAAAUCAGAUAAUAAUAAUGUUCUUCCAUAAUAAUAAUCUUAAAAGACUAUUUAUACUACCUAAACCCUAAAAAUAAAUAAAAUCUAAUAAACUUAAAAAAUAUGCUCAAAACAUAAAUUAACCCAAAAAAUUAAACCUACCUGACUACUAAUUAAAAAAUAAAAAUAUAUUAAAUAUUUAAAUUAUUCAUAAAUAUCAAAAUAUAAAUUAUAUCGAAUUUUUGCAGAUAAUUAUUCCCGUGUCAAUGGGGACCUGAGUGACCAUUUAGGGUGUUAUAAGACAAUGCUAAGCAUUGAAGAGGGAUAUUAUCGGCCUUUAGCUGAAGUGAGAUGCCAAAAAAUUUGUGGCGAAGUGCUACAAAGGGUCGAUCACAGAAUACCGAGACGUACGGUACAUUCAUCCUCCUGUUCUAGAGGCUAUAUGGGAUGAUUUGUCUAGACUUUCCCCAGAUACAUUUCUUUUAGGAGAUAAAGAACAACACCUUCACUAAGUUGUGAAAACAAUAAAUUUUGCAAUUAGUAUUUAGUUUACGUAAAUUAAUUAAAAUAUAAAUGAAUUACUUCUUGUUUUUU